GGAUUAGAUACCCUGGUAGUCCACGCCGUAAACGAUGUCUACUAGUUGUCGGGACUCUUGCAGUCUUGGUAACGCAGCUAACGCGAUAAGUAGACCGCCUGGGGAGUACGGCCGCAAGGUUAAAACUCAAAUGAAUUGACGGGGGCCCGCACAAGCGGUGGAGCAUGUGGUUUAAUUCGAAGCAACGCGAAGAACCUUACCUGGCCUUGACAUCCUGCGAACUUGGUAGAGAUACCUUGGUGCCUUCGGGAGCGCAGAGACAGGUGCUGCAUGGCUGUCGUCAGCUCGUGCUG
rnacentral:rRNA from 1 species